GAUGGUCUUAGUCCUUUCAAUAUGAUUAUUCAUUUCAAUAUAUUAAAUGAUUUCCAUUUCCCUUUCUUAGUCCUUUCAUUUAUGGUCUUCUCUCAUUUUGUGGGCUGCAGGUCAGACAGAUUUGCUAGGCUUCAACGGAUUCAAUGCUCAUUGGGCCCAUGACCAGCCUUAUUCAUUGUGCUUGGUGGCGGUCCUUCCAUGGCCACUGCGACGUUUUCUACACAAGGGCAAUGAGAGGAAUUUCAGCCUCAAGCGCACCGGUUCGAUCCGCUCCCAGUAUUCAGGUCUAAGCAUAGUUGUCCAAGCGACCACAUUGCAUCAUUUGAUAACAUCUCCAGUGAAAGAGAAGGCCUGAGCAAGGAUGAUAACAUUCGCAGCAUAAAAAAAAAAAAAAAAAAAAAACUAGGAUACAUGAGUGUCACCUUUCUUUUUCUUCUCUCUCUCUCUGUUUUUUUUUUUUUUGUCUUGCUGACGAAAAAGAUUUGCUCUAUGGCUACGGGUUAUUGGUAGCCAUGAGUUCUAUAGCAACUGAUUUAAUUCGUA